GAUUCCAACGUCACUAACGGUUUUCUGAGGGAGUUGGAAAGAGAUAAGAGAGAGACCUUGGGGAACAAUUUUAAAGUGGCUCAAUAGCGAUCGCAGAGCCAAACUCAUACCUACAUCAAUGUGGUGCAGAGAAUCUCUAAGAAUUUUUAAUGCUGAAUUGGAGCAAAGAAACUUCAAGGAGGAAGCAAAGUGAAGAACACAGAUUUCACAGAUGGGAUGCCUGGCUCAAAUUCCAGCUUGACCGCUGGUAGCUGUGUGACCCUCGGCAAGUUACUUGACCUCUCUCUACUCAGUGUCCUCAUCUGUCAGAUUUUGAUAUCUGACUGAUGCUGUCUUCGUGGAAUGAGUUAGGAAAGAGUCCCUCCACGUCAACUGUUUGGAAUAUAUUCAGCAGGAUUGGUAUCAUUGCAUGUCUGGCAGAAUUUGACUAGGAAUCCAUCUGGUCCAGGACUUUUUUGUUGGUGUAAUGAGAUUCAUUGAAGAAUUCUAAGAGUGGAAUGAGCAACAGAUUUUCAUUAGCGAAAGCUCCUCUAGCUGCUGCAUAAAAUGAUGGCUAGACAGAGAAAUGCGUAAAUGGCGACAGUAGAGCCAGCCUUCAUGAAUCCAGAAAUGUGAGCCACAUUUUGAGGAUAGCAGAGUCACUGCAGAAGCCUGGAUCCUUGCAUAACCUUGUCGAGUGGGAAAAUCUACCCAUACUUGACCAACCACCUAACUGGGGGCUCUACAUCUGAAAGAAAUGAUUUUUUAUCUUAUUUAAGCCACUGUAGUUAGGAGUCAGUUUAUUACAGGACAUUGCCUGGUGUUCCAACAAAUAAACUACCUUAUUUGUUUCAAUAAAUAAAGUGGCUUUUAUUUACUAUUUUGGGGAUGGCUAAAAAAUUAUCAAACUAGGUAGAACUAAACUAAAGUUUCAGAUGAAAGAAGAUCUUCAUAAGCAACAGCACCAUCUUGUCACAGCAGCCAAAUGGUGGCAUGUCAUUUCUUCCAGGAAAGUAUAUAUACUCUGAAUGUAUCAUGUUUCAGCAUUGCUCUGUUAUAGGCUUGUAUAUCUAAUUUUGUCAUCACACAAAAUCUAUUGGGCUGGAUUAAAAUUAACCAAGAUCAUAAGACAAAUG